ACACAAAUAAAUAACACAUUUGGGCCUAACAACCAAAUCUAUUAAGACAUACCAAAAAAAUCUAACAAACAAAACCCACUUCAGAUCCAGCCCAAAAACUAAUCCCUAUGAAUACUUCCUUAAGUCUAGGGUUUUCUAAAUCAGCCUCUUUUCAUUCAUCGCCUUCAUCCCUAACCAUCUCAAAGAUGUUCCCUCUUUGGGAUAACAAGAAGUUCUGCCUCGGCAUGUUAUGGAUCAAUGUUAAAUUCUUCUCCUUGCAUCCUUGUUUAUCAACUAAAUAAGAGUAAGUCUUCUCUAUUUUCCUUACUUCCUUGUUCAUGCGCCUGUUUCAGCUGACCAAAGUGUUGUUGCAGUUUUUUGUUAUUUGAUUUGUUGGAUUAUUCUUGUGCGUUACUUCUAGAUCUGAUCUCAAGGAAGGAUGCUUAAUCAUUAGAAUUAAGUUCUUAAGAAAGUAUGCAGAUGCAAUAUAAUGAAGACUUAUAUAUACAUAGAAGUGUAAAAGAAGCAUAUUUUUGUUAGUAACUAUAAUCUAUAUUUUUUUCUACUUACAAAGAAGAAUUGAGAUGGAGGAGGAAAGAUUGGAGCGACUUCUUUUGUACGGCUUCAAAAUAUGAAUAGAGAUUUUGGCUUUAAAAAUUAGUAAGAACGUUUUUCUGAUACUAUUACUUUAUACUUUUUUGUAUUGGUUGCAAAUGUUUCCUAUAAUAUUAUUUUUUUCAUACCUUAAACAUGCACGUCUUAUGUAUCACUAUGAUUUAGAGAACAUAAUAGUCCUUAUCCGUUAUUAUAACAUGAAUGGACUUAUAAUUAAUUGGUUCAAGUGUUGAAAAGAAGAUCAAGUAUUAUUGAACUCUGAGUUCCAAGAAUUUUGAUUUUCUUUAUUAUUUAAAUAAGAGUCAACAUUAACUCUUUCUAAAUUCAGCUUCACAAAGUUAUGUUGCUUCCUAUUUAAAAAGUGAAGAUCAGAAUCCUUGUUAACCCAUAGUUCAAUAGCACCCAAUAUUCUCUAAAAUGCUUAAACCAACACUAGUUCAUCCAUAUUAUAAUGAAUAAGAACAAUUUUCUUCUCUAGUUCAAAAGAACACGUAAGAUUGACAUGUUUAAGACAUGAAAAUUUUUGUUAUUGAAAACAUUUGCAAUUGACUCAGAAAAGUGUAAGUCGUAGUAGCAGAAAAAUCAAUUUUGCUAAUAUGUAUCCAUAGGCGAAACUCAUAAACAGGCCUCUAAACUUGAUGGAUUUUUCCCCUUCGAGUACCUUCACUAUGCUAUUUUCCUAUUGAAUCUUGAACCACCCAUAAUUUGCUCCUUUUAAAUAUUGUUGGCUAAUGUGGCACAAAAUGUGAUCUCAUGUCGUUUGAGCGCGUGAAGACGUUUUGAAGGCGCUGAUGUGGAUCCCUGAACCACCCACCAACGAUCUUCUUACCCUUUUAACCCUAAUUUCUCCCUUUUUCUCUUAUUUCUCCUCUUUUCUUUCUCUUCAUCAUUAAGUUGGAGCUACUCAUCAAAAUAUAUCUCUUCUUCAUUGAUUUCUUCAUAAUCACCAAGUUCCAAUGUCGAAGUUAUCUUGUUCAUCGAUUUCUUCUUCUUCAACUGCAAAUGUGCUAUGUCAAUGUGGGGUUGUUGUGGAAAUGAAGAUCUCAUGGACGCAAUCCAACCCUGGACGUAGGUUCCUUUGUUGCAGAAUUUCAAAGGCACGAGGUGGAUGUGGAUAUUUCUGAUGGUGUGAUGAUGAAAUGCCGGCUCAAUCUAGGAAGGUGAUAUGGAGUUUGUUGAAAAGAGUCAAAACAUAUGAACUGGAGAGGAAUCGAUCAAGAAAAGUAUGAAUGAUAUGCAUUGUCAUAGGGGUGAUAUUGGCUACUUGGAUUUAUGUAACAAAAUGAUCUUAGUGCUUUGGUUCAUUUGUCGUCUUCUAGAUUCCUUCAAUAGCAUGUAGGUAGAUUGUAAUCUUCUCUAUGAGGGCAAUUUUGAUCGGCAUUUCUAUUGUAAUUGUCUUCAAUUGUGUUCUUAUUGUACUGAUUUUGAUUUAAGGAAUGAAGACAAACUAUGUGUUAGUCUCA